rnacentral:rRNA from 1 species
CCUACGGGAGGCGGCAGUAGGGAAUAUUGCUCAAUGGGGGAAACCCUGAAGCAGCAACGCCGCGUGGAGGAUGAAGGUUUUCGGAUUGUAAACUCCUUUUGUUAGAGAAGAUAAUGACGGUAUCUAACGAAUAAGCACCGGCUAACUCCGUGCCAGCAGCCGCGGUAAUACGGAGGGUGCAAGCGUUACUCGGAAUCACUGGGCGUAAAGAGCGCGUAGGCGGGAUAGCAAGUCAGAUGUGAAAUCCUAUGGCUUAACCAUAGAACUGCAUUUGAAACUGUUAUUCUAGAGUAUGGGAGGGGUAGGUGGAAUUCUUGGUGUAGGGGUAAAAUCCGUAGAGAUCAAGAGGAAUACUCAUUGCGAAGGCGACCUACUAGAACAUAACUGACGCUGAUGCGCGAAAGCGUGGGGAGCAAACAGGAUUAGAUACCCGUGUAGUC